rnacentral:lncRNA from 1 species
UUAAUUAAAUAAUCCGGAAAGAAUUAUUUUAUCACAAAAUACUUCGGAUCUAUAUUUAACGUAUCAAACUUCUGAACUGUACUGUCCAUUUCUGGAAAAUGUUGAAGACGUAGGUGGCGACACCGUAAAACCCUAGCAACAUCUUUCUUAAAUCAUACUUCCGCGUAUUAAUGUACGAAAGUAUUCAUAAAUUCGCGUGCUUUAAUGCAUAUUGUUUUUAAAAAAAUGUUUACAUAUAUAUAUAUAUUACUAAAGGAAAAUCUAUUUGCAUUAUAUAAGAAGAAAUUGCCGACUCUAUCAGAUAGUUCACCAUUACGGGUAGAUCAACGCCAUUUUGUUAUGUUGGACAAUGCGUUAAGUUACGAUCACUCGUGAUAAGUUGAUGACCAUUCUGCGUGGAAAUAUGCAUGCGUUGUUACAUCCGUUACAAAAGAAAAAGCUUUACUUCUGGACAAGAAACUCUCACACAAUCUACAUUUUGACGCUACUUUUAUUUGUAGCAAUAUUAUCGAGAAGAAAUAAUAAAGUUACUAUUUAUUGUA